UAAUGUCUGGGAAACUGCCCGAUGGAGGGGGAUAACUACUGGAAACGGUAGCUAAUACCGCAUAACGUCGCAAGACCAAAGAGGGGGACCUUCGGGCCUCUUGCCAUCGGAUGUGCCCAGAUGGGAUUAGCUAGUAGGUGGGGUAACGGCUCACCUAGGCGACGAUCCCUAGCUGGUCUGAGAGGAUGACCAGCCACACUGGAACUGAGACACGGUCCAGACUCCUACGGGAGGCAGCAGUGGGGAAUAUUGCACAAUGGGCGCAAGCCUGAUGCAGCCAUGCCGCGUGUAUGAAGAAGGCCUUCGGGUUGUAAAGUACUUUCAGCGAGGAGGAAGGUGUUGUGGUUAAUAACCGCAGCAAUUGACGUUACUCGCAGAAGAAGCACCGGCUAACUCCGUGCCAGCAGCCGCGGUAAUACGGAGGGUGCAAGCGUUAAUCGGAAUUACUGGGCGUAAAGCGCACGCAGGCGGUCUGUCAAGUCGGAUGUGAAAUCCCCGGGCUCAACCUGGGAACUGCAUCCGAAACUGGCAGGCUAGAGUCUUGUAGAGGGGGGUAGAAUUCCAGGUGUAGCGGUGAAAUGCGUAGAGAUCUGGA
rnacentral:rRNA from 1 species